rnacentral:rRNA from 1 species
CACGUAGGGGGCAAGCGUUGUCCGGAUUUAUUGGGCGUAAAGAGCUCGUAGGUGGCUGAGUAAGUCGGAUGUUAAAUCCCCAGGCUCAACCUGGGACACCACCCGAUACUGCUCUGGCUAGAGUCCGGUAGGGGAGCGUGGAAUUCCUGGUGUAGCGGUGAAAUGCGUAGAUAUCAGGAGGAACACCGGUGGUGUAGACGGCUUUCUGGACCGUAACUGACGCUGAAACACGAAAGCGUGGGUAGCAAACAGG